CCUACGGGUGGCAGCAGUGGGGAAUAUUGCACAAUGGGGGAAACCCUGAUGCAGCGACGCCGCGUGAAGGAAGGAGGUCUUCGGAUCGUAAACUUCUAUCAGCAGGGAAGAAGAAAGUGACGGUACCUGAAUAAGAAGCCCCGGCUAACUACGUGCCAGCAGCCGCGGUAAUACGUAGGGGGCAAGCGUUAUCCGGAAUCACUGGGUGUAAAGGGUACGUAGGCGGCUAGAUAAGUCAGAUGUGAAAGGCAUAGGCUUAACCUGUGUAAGCAUUUGAAACUGUCUAGCUUGAGUCAAGGAGAGGAAAGUGGAAUUCCUGGUGUAGCGGUGAAAUGCGUAGAUAUCAGGAGGAAUACCAGUGGCGAAGGCGACUUUCUGGACUUAGACUGACGCUGAGGUACGAAAGCGUGGGGAGCAAACAGGAUUAGAUACCCCUGUAGUC
rnacentral:rRNA from 1 species